CAAGAGAAAACUAUCUCUAACACUGUUGCAGACCGCAGAGCAGGAAAUGUUGCGUACUUUGAACUGGCCCCAGAUCUGCUUCACAAGCUUCUGUGUUGAGUAACAUCUCUAACGUUACUCGCAGGACAAAGUUACUGACAAAAUAUGGGAGCUUUACUUGCAAACCCAUGUGAGAUUGCUGUAUGAUUCAUCUGCUCCAUGAAAAUGACCACCUCUGCAGAU
rnacentral:lncRNA from 1 species